UAAUGAGUCUUACAAUAAGAACAUCAUUGGUCCCACAUUGCCAUAGGCCCUAUUUGUUUUGGCCCUGAUCCAUCAAAUCACUUUAACACAUAUGCAACUUUAAAUGCAUGAGAUAUCCCACUCAACAGAAUGAGUCAUGUGCUUAAGGUUAUUCAUGGACUUAAGAACUGCACAAGAGGUGGCUUUGUCUCCAGAGGCUCACUGGUUAUUAGAGAGAGCACAUAUACACAGACAGAGAUAGAUAUAUAGAUAUAUAUGUGCACAUUGCAGGCUAUGCAUACAUCCUUGGAAGCCAUGCUCAAGAAUAAAAAUAACAUAUAAAAUCCUCAAGUCUUCAUAUACCAUAAGUUAUGACUUCUGAUUAUUUAAAACCAUGAAAAGAUAACUGGAUAAAGUACCUACCUGUACAGAUAACGAAAAAUGGGUGCCUGCCACAGACAGGCCACAGCCUGGCUUUCUGAAGGGACAAAACAGAUGAUGGAAAGAGACAAAUCAUGGUGACUUCCACAGACUCAGCACACUGUAUUGCGUGUGAACCAUGAAAGACCUAUGAACAUCAAAUCUUCAUGUCCUUCAAAUGACCGCGGUGUCAGCAAGGAACCAGGUACAGAAUAAGUUUCUGCAGAUGUGCUCGCAGUCUGAGAUAUUCAACGCGACCUUUCAAUUGAGUAGACUACUUCUAAGAAUAGCUUUUACUCAC